rnacentral:rRNA from 1 species
AGCGGAGCGCCGUAUUCGUACCAUGGAUCCUGACUUUGAUCCUGGCUCAGGAUAAACGCUAGCUACGGGCUUAACACAUGCAAGUCGAGGGGAAACGAUAUUGGAAGCUUGCUUCCGAUAGGCGUCGACCGGCGCACGGGUGGAGUAACGCGUAUCCAACCUGCCCAUCACUUGGGGAUAACCUUGCGAAAGUAAGACUAAUACCCAAUGACGUCUCUAGAAGACAUCUGAAAGAGAUUAAAGAUUUAUCGGUGAUGGAUGGGGAUGCGUCUGAUUAGCUUGUUGGCGGGGUAACGGCCCACCAAGGCAACGAUCAGUAGGGGUUCUGAGAGGAAGGUCCCCCACAUUGGAACUGAGACACGGUCCAAACUCCUACGGGAGGCAGCAGUGAGGAAUAUUGGUCAAUGGACGAGAGUCUGAACCAGCCAAGUAGCGUGCAGGAUGACGGCCCUAUGGGUUGUAAACUGCUUUUAUAAGGGAAUAAGGUGAGUCUCGUGAGACUUUUUGCAUGUACCUUAUGAAUAAGGACCGGCUAAUUCCGUGCCAGCAGCCGCGGUAAUACGGAAGGUCCGGGCGUUAUCCGGAUUUAUUGGGUUUAAAGGGAGCGUAGGCCGGAGAUUAAGCGUGUUGUGAAAUGUAGACGCUCAACGUCUGCACUGCAGCGCGAACUGGUUUCCUUGAGUACGCACAAAGUGGGCGGAAUUCGUGGUGUAGCGGUGAAAUGCUUAGAUAUCACGAAGAACUCCGAUUGCGAAGGCAGCUCACUGGAGCGCAACUGACGCUGAAGCUCGAAAGUGCGGGUAUCGAACAGGAUUAGAUACCCUGGUAGUCCGCACGGUAAACGAUGGAUGCCCGCUGUUGGUCUGAAUAGGUCAGCGGCCAAGCGAAAGCAUUAAGCAUCCCACCUGGGGAGUACGCCGGCAACGGUGAAACUGUAAUGAAUGACCCAAGGUAGAAUUCUACCACCCCUGCAAGACUAGUC